GAAGAUGCUGGAGACUUUGUUGCAAGAAAGGAUGGCUUUAGGUCAUAUUGCUGAGGCCUGAUCUUAAAGAUCUAAUUGCUAUUGGAAGAGAAUCCUGUUUCCCAACUGGGCCUCCCCUCUGGAGAUGGAGCAAGGAAGACUGUCCAACUCUGCUCUGGGCACCCUGCUGAUGGAUGAGGUGUCAGGCCAGUCGUCAUGUGAGGACUGGUUUCCAAAUGAUGAGAAAACUGAGGCUCUGAGAGAUGAUAUCAUAAAGCCUUGUAAGACCCAGUUGCUGUGCUCCACCUUCAUAUCUUCACCUAUGUUAGAACUUCUGAGAAGCUGAAGCAUCACAUAUAAGAAGCCAAGACCAUCCUCAAGAAGUUUAAUGAAUGUGGCACCACAAGAAAAAAUAUGCAUCAACAUUGAAAAGCAAAGCCUUCCAGCCAGUUCAAUGGUGGGAGUCUCCGCCUGCUCUUACUGCACAAUCAUUUCCCAUUGAGGAAGAAUGUGAAAAUGACGCACAGGUGAGGGAGGCAUACUAUAAGACCACUUCUUACCUUUCGUUUCCUGGAGCCAAUCUGAAUGAAGACCCAGAGAG